GAUAAGUGCUUCGCAAACACCCACUCACACCCAGCCUAGAAGUAGCUAUUAGUGUAUGCGUGAGGAACCUGGACUCAGAGACAGUAAGCAGCUUGUCCAGGAUCACACAGCUCAUAGGACAAAGUAGGUACUUGUGAAAACUCAGAGAGAAUGUGGACACUGCCCGCCUGACGGAGGCGGGGGAAUGAGGGUCAGAGCACCCUGGCCAAGCCCAGCUUGGGGACAGAGCUCAGACCCUCAUCUCUCACACCAACCUCUCACUUCUGUUUCAACUCCUGGUUCUCAGGACACAGUACAGCAGGAAGGACGAAAGAUGUCAAUGAAAUCUUGGAAGCUGGUUGAUGAGCAGGAGCUGAUGUCAUAGAGCAGAGAAGACUGGAAAC